rnacentral:rRNA from 1 species
GAGUUUGAUCCUGGCUCAGGAUGAACGCUGGCGGCGUGCUUAACACAUGCAAGUCGAACGAGAAUCAGUGGAACAAGGAUUCGUCUGAGGGAAGCUGAGGAAAGUGGCGGACGGGUGAGUAACGCGUGAGCAAUCUGCCUUGGAGUGGGGAAUAACGGCUGGAAACAGCCGCUAAUACCGCAUAAUGCAUCUGAGUCGCAUGAUUUGGAUGCCAAAGAUUUAUCGCUCUGAGAUGAGCUCGCGUCUGAUUAGCUAGUUGGCGGGGUAACGGCCCACCAAGGCGACGAUCAGUAGCCGGACUGAGAGGUUGGCCGGCCACAUUGGGACUGAGACACGGCCCAGACUCCUACGGGAGGCAGCAGUGGGGAAUAUUGGGCAAUGGGCGCAAGCCUGACCCAGCAACGCCGCGUGAAGGAAGAAGGCUUUCGGGUUGUAAACUUC